GUUGGCUCAACCAGCCUCAGCCCUUCGGGGCUACGUUUGAAGUUGAAGCGAAAGCGACUCACCCUGGGGUGCAUUUCUCAGCCCCAGGCACUGAGGUCAAAGGCAAUGAACUACGGAGCGACACAGGAGCGAAUGCCGAGACUGAACGACCCUUCAAACAUUGGCGAGAGAACCCUAACUUUUAGAGUAGCAAAA
rnacentral:sRNA from 1 species